CUUUUGUCCAGGGGCUCCAUCUUCUCCUGGAAGACCAGGCAGACCUGCCAGUCCUGAAGACCCUGGAUCACCCUGACAUCAGUAAAAAGAUUCAAGAGUGGGAUUGGAAUUAUGCAAACUUUUGAUGUCAUCUGUAUUCACAGAUGUGAGCCCUUUAUAGAAGAUAGAGCUGAUAGAGGCUGAGGAAUUUGCUCUGGAACAGAUGUCCCAAGGAAUAAAAAACUGAAGGCACACAGAAGAUUCAAUGCUAACUGCUGUCUUCCUUUCCAUAUUGAGUGUCCACCAGCUCAGCCCACUUAUCACAGGUAUAGACAAGGCAGCUGAGGAGAUUGUGGGGAAGGAAUGCAGCUUUGGCUCCAGGAGGUGUGGUAAGGAAAAGACUUUAACAUGGCAUAAAGGGGAGGAGGCUGUCUACAGUAUUUUCCUAUUUUAUAUAGAGAUAAUACAGCCAAAAACUCACUCUGAGCAUUUUGGUGUUUGCCUCACCAAGAGAUAUUUUCCAUCCUACAGCCUAAGUCUUUUGACUGAUUGCAUUUGUGAUCUCUCAAGCAUUUCAUCCUAGCUGUUGGAGGAAUGAGACCUAGCCAUUUUUAGUAUGAGUCCCACUUGAAAAGGGCAGAAUGGCCCUGAAGGGCCAGGGAAUUGGAACAAAAAUGAGGACCUAUGCUCCUUAGAGACAGAGAAAGUGCCAAAGAAAUCUCUUUGCAGUAAGGCAAGUACCAAGAUCUUUGGUAGAGAUGCAGCUGAGGCAGAGCAUACUUUCCCUUACUUUGUGACUGUGUCUCCAGGAUGGGGAACAGGGACUUCCAGGGUGGACCAGACAGUGCUGACCACAGGACAACUGGAGAGGACAGCUGCAAUCUGUUUAAUCUUUCUCCAUUUUCUUCUGCCUUCCAGGAUGCAGUAAUAUAAUUCCAGGUUGAAAGAGAGAAGCUGUAAUAUGUCACUAACCAGAAGACCUUGAGGAAACUUUUGGCCACAGUACCAGCUGCAUUGUGCAAUUCUGACUCUGUGAUUUCUGUUCUGGACCAAUUCACAUCUCCUCAGCUUAAUGUUUCUCACAUUCAUGUGGUCUGGAGACCCACCUUUGAUCCACUCUUCUGGAAAUCUGUGCUUUAGUUACGAAUAUGCAUUAGAUGUUUGGGAAUUAUAUCAACUAAGGCUCUCUUUUUCUUAGUUUGAGAUUAGGUGGGUUUAUUUUUUUCUUUUUAAUUUUUUUUUCUUGAAAUCCUUGGAAGAAAAAACUUCCCUGGCAAAUAAUUUCCAUUGUUUUAGACACUGUGAAAUGUGGUGUGGCUUAUAUGAGAAACUUGGUGACCUUGGGCUAUUGUCUCUUUGGUUUUUUUCAUGUGUUGUAGAGUUGAAAUUAAUACUGCUUCUUUAUACAAGAUGCAUGUUCCCUAGAACAUGACAUUUUAAGGAAACUUCUGCUCACAAUGCAUGUAUUUGGGGAAAAAAAAGUGGUGACAUCCAAAUACACAUUACUGCUCUGGGUCCCCAUGAAAACAGCUGAAUCUGCUCUUCCCGAAGUCUGAUGGCUUUGAUGCAAACUGAACUGGGCCUUAGGUGAAGGAAAUAUUUCAAAAAUAGUAUCUCUAAAGAGAGUGUCUCCUGCCAUUAAUAGCCUGUUAAGAAAGGAAGCCUCUAACACAUGUGCGCGCACACACACACACAUGCACGCACACACAUACACACACACACAUACACAUUGUUGCUUGCUGUAAAACUAAGGUUCAUUUAAGGAAAUGGGAUGCUUUAGAUUGUAGAAUAGCAAAGAUGGAUGAAAUCUGAAGAGUUAAUUACUGCUGUUGGGUACUUAUAUUAUUAGCCAUGCAGAGAGACAGUUUUUAGUUUAGAUUUGUAUGACUUGUCAAUACCAGUGUUGUCCCCAAAAAAUGAGCCCAGCUUUAGUAUGUUUAAAAUGUAGCCUUGCUUUAGUAUGAUUGCACAAAAAUAACAAAAAAAGCUUGUCAUGAUAAAGGCAUAGGAUUUAAUGAUUAAACUUUAAAUGUGAAAUUGGAAACACAGCUUGUAACUUAAAAUGUUUUCUAUGUGGAAGCACCUGGGUUUAUCCAAGGACAGAUUGACCACAAGAUUACUGAAUGCCAAUGGCAAUUACAGCUUUAUUGGAUAAUGCACUGGGCAGAUCCUUAGCCUCUGUAAACUGUCCUAGCUUCAAGAAGUUCAGGAGAGACAAAUUUACAGAUCUGACCCACAUUUUCCUAUAGUGAAUGUAUGUACAACUUUUUAUUUUCCUUAACCAUUGGCUUUCUAUCUUUAUCUAGUCAUACAUCAACCCUGAUGUUUCUAUCUGUCUGUGAAGAAGCGCAUGAGUUCAGAUACUAAUUUAGACUGAACCUUGGUCAAAAAUAAAGCCUUUUAAUUUUUAACUUCCUUGCUUAGCAGGUUAUCUUUAAUAAGUAAGCAGCAUAGUUGUUCUAAAUUACACCUUUAACUGCUUUUCUGAGUGCUUGCUUACACUAAAAACUAGGCAAGCUAAGACAUCCCAAACUCUAUUUUGAAUCAAAAAUAGUUCAAUGAACAACAGCAUUGUCUAUGUUUUCUCCCUCUAACCUUCUAAUGGAUGUAGUCUGCAUCUUCUUAAACAUGCAUAAUCAACUAAAAAAUCCCUAGGUCUAGUUCAGUCAGAAAUAAUGAGCUGCCAAUAGGAACAGUCAACAGAAAGAUGAGAGAAAGAGUUGAGUUGAACCCACAUGGGCAAUUUUGGGUGUAGUUAUGGGAAAGCCUUGAGGAGUUUUCAUUCUGAUUUUGAAGUCUCUAGUCUUGCAGAAGACUCAUUUAAUGGUGUCCAGCAGGACAGGGUCCCAUUAGUUGCAUGAUAAGAUGCCAUGGUAAAGUGAGAGGAGAAAAUUUUAGAUGAAGUAAACAGAGGAUAGCAUUGUCCUGUGCUGGCCUCUUUUGUUACUAUUAUUCAGCAGUAACAUAUCU